GCUUGUCUCAAAGAUUAAGCCAUGCAUGUCUAAGUGUAAAUAAGUCUAUACUGUGAAACUGCGAAUGGCUCAUUAAAACAGUUACAGUUUAUUUGAUGGUCGUUCCUUACAUGGAUAACUGUGGUAAUUCUAGAGCUAAUACAUGCACCCGUGCCCGACUUUGUGGAAGGGUUGUGUUUAUUAGUUACAGAACCAGCCCAGGCUCUGCCUGGUCUUGUGGUGAUUCAUAAUAACCGAACGAAUCGCACGGCAUCAGCUGGCGAUGAAUCAUUCAAGUUUCUGACCUAUCAGCUUC
rnacentral:rRNA from 1 species